GACGAACGCUGGCGGCGUGCUUAACACAUGCAAGUCGAACGGAAAGGCCCUGCUUUUGUGGGGUGCUCGAGUGGCGAACGGGUGAGUAACACGUGAGUAACCUGCCCUUGACUUUGGGAUAACUUCAGGAAACUGGGGCUAAUACCGGAUAGGAGCUCCUGCUGCAUGGUGGGGGUUGGAAAGUUUCGGCGGUUGGGGAUGGACUCGCGGCUUAUCAGCUUGUUGGUGGGGUAGUGGCUUACCAAGGCUUUGACGGGUAGCCGGCCUGAGGGGGUGACCGGCCACAUUGGGACUGAGAUACGGCCCAGACUCCUCCGGGAGGCAGCAGUGGGGAAUAUUGCACAAUGGGCGGAAGCCUGAUGCAGCAACGCCGCGUGCGGGAUGACGGCCUUCGGGUUGUAAACCGCUUUCGCCUGUGACGAAGCGUGAGUGACGGUAAUGGGUAAAGAAGCACCGGCUAACUACGUG
rnacentral:rRNA from 1 species